UUUUUCUUUUUCUUUUUUUUUUUUUCCAAAGAGAAUACUGUUUAUUUUUAACAGGCCACUUUAAUAUUAAUACAUGUGUAAUAGGAUCCAAACUGAAAAUCUGCUAAAGAUGGUAAAUUUUACAUUAUUGGGAAAAUUACAAUUUGUUUUGUAUUGUAAAAACAUUUAUUUUUAACAAUUUACCUACAUUAAUCAAAAAAGUACAGCAUAUUUAAUAAUUUUACAAAUUCUUCAUAAAAAAUAUAUCUCUGUACAAAAAGUUCUUUUGCACCUACUUCAUGUCACAGCAGCAUGUAGUGAAAUGGCAGAAUGAAGUACUGGGAAUGAAAAUUAGAUUGACUUGAUCAUAAUGCCGGCGUUCUUUCCCAAUUCCCCCCCUCCCCCUCGCCCUCCCACCUAUUUGUUGUGUUGUUUUUUUUCUUUUGUUUUUGUUUUUUUAAUAACAGCCUUUAUUUGUUUACAAAAUAUUUUACACAAGAAAAAAAAUUAUUGCAGCUAGCCUGGAGAAAGGCAAGAUGUGUGAUACAAGCAGCAGUUUUUAACAGCUUUGAAGCACAUAACCUGUUUAAAAAAAAAAAAUAGAUAGCAUGUCUUAUUAGCCCAUCGUAAUGAUCUGGUCAACACUGGGGGAAAAGUCUUCUGCAUAUAUCUCAGAAAGUAGAUUUCCUGGCUGACAUUAUCUGGCCACCGUACAACAUAUUAAGAGUCUUAUUCUGAUGAAGCACCAUACACAGCCCUCUGUAAAACAACUUCAGGAGAAAGAGAUCCAACCUGAACAGAAGACUCAAACAUAUGGAGAAGGAGAGGUAUUUGAGGGUCAUGGAUAGAACUGAUAGAACCAGGGGUUCUUUCCUUUUACAGGUUCAAGUCUAAAGCUUCUGUUUAAGCAGUACUCCAAAUAAACUUCUUGGGAUAACGUGUCAGUGUGCUCCAACUCUGAGCAUCUCUUAUCAGAGAACACUCAGUUAGGAAAAACAAUUCUUGAAUAACUUCCUAAAAAUGUAUCACUGGGUAAAGAAUGCAGAGAAUCUGUGCUCUCAUAAAAAUAAAAAAUAGAAUAAAAAGACCAAAGAAUUUAACAACUAUCUUUCUGUGAACUUUCCUUCAGUGCAUUCCUCAGUGGUCAUAAUGACAUAGGUCACUUAAGAAUACACUGCACAGAAAAUAUCAAUAGUAACUACUUAGGUAGAAUUUUGCACUUCUUUUCAAUAUUCUUCUCUCUUCUUUUUUUUUUUUUUUUUUUUUCCUUUCUUUUCUUCUCUUUUCUUUUCUUUUCUGCUAUCACCACUGCAGAAAGACUUCCAAAGCAGUAGCAAUGAUUUUGAACACCUGCCAAAAACUUUAAUCACACAGCAGCUUCCCUCCCUGGCCCACUGUUUCUAAGGAAGAUAUUCAUUUGCAGAGUAGCUUCCUGUACGUAGGGUGAGAUCACAAAAACUUUGAUAUGAUGAUUUUGUUCUUUCUCAAGAAAGGUGAAAGACUCUGAGAUAUGACAGAUAAAUGAAACUUACUCCAGAAACAAAC
ensembl:lncRNA